GCACGGGCGGGCUGCCCCGCUGGCCGGGAGAGGGGGCGGGGAGGCGGCGCGGAAAAGUAAAGUGACAGCUGAGUCCCGCUGGCGCGGACGGGUGUGGGCGAGGAGCGUCCGACUGGGAAGGAACUGCAGGGACCCGGAGAGCUGGGGGAAACCGAGGCGGGCCGGGCGGCUUGACGGAAGGGGACACGGGGACCUUGACGGGCACGCGCAUUAAAGAGAAACGCCGGUGGGGGUAGGGACUUGCCCGCAGACCUUUCCCAGGAUGGCGGGGGUGGGCUCGUGCUGCAGUCCUUUGCAGCCCUUGACUCCACUCUCGCCUCAGAGCUUUCCCAAAGUAGCUGUAGGGACUGACGCUGUGGACGCAGGAACCUCAACUCGCGUGCUCGCGGUGCCCACUUGCACCCAAGAAAAUGUCAAAGUUGUUUUUCAGUCCUUGUGCAUUGGCUGCUGGGAGCCAGGAUGCAGCAGUGUCAACGUUUGUCCUGUGGGAAGGAUUGGAAGAGGUUUCACCGCUUGAUUGCUGAAGCUGGCUCCAACAGCAAGUACAUCAUUUGUCUGAAGAUGUUUUAACUGCUAUUUACUACUUACAGUGUUCAAAAAAGGAAUAGUACAAAUCAGAGUUUCACUUUUCAUUUAUUCCAGGAAUAUUUGUUAAGUACUAGGCAUUCAAUAUUAGCUGGGUGUGGUGGCCCAUACCUGUAAUCCCAGCGCUUGCAAGGCUGAGGCCAGCCUGAGCUACAUAGUUCAAGGCCAGCCUAAACUACACAGCGAGACCUUGUCUAAAAGAAAAGAAUAUUGAGUCUUGGUGGUAGGGCUCUAACUUUGAAUAAGUGACAAAAAUUCCUGUCCUCAUAGAGCUCUCUUCCUGACCCUUCCCUGCUUUACAUUCUACAUCCACUUUAUCAGCACAUUCCACUGACUCUGCCCUCAAAAAUAUAUCCUGAAAGUGGCCACUCCUUCCUACCCCUUCCCACUGCUGAUACCCACCAUUAUUUCUCAGUCAUAGUCUCCUACCUGAUCUUUCUCCUUCCCACUGUCCAUCUGCUACUCCCACCCCUACAAGCAGCAGUCUGGGUAGUUUUAUAAAACAUGGGUUAGGUUAGGUCUCUCCUCUUUCCUGAAAGGCCAGUGGCUUUGCAUCCUACAGCAGCAGCCAGUUCUUGAAGUGGCUUCUUGCCCUCAGUGAUCUGCCUGCCCCUCCCAACUAGGACCCCUGUGACCUCAAGUUGUAGUUUCACCUGAUCCUCAUCUCUCUCCAGCCACACUGACCUUGCUGUUGUAAAACACACCAAGCAUUCCUCAGCCUCAAGACUCUUGUACUUUUGUAUUUCCUAUCUCCCAACAUUCUUCUCUUUCUUCACCCCUAGAGCUUCCUGUCUCCCUCCUAGGAUUUAUUUUUCUCAUGACCAUCAUUGGACAUAAUUUGUACUUGUUUGUUUUAAUCUUUCCCUUCUUUCUCCAGCCCCUAUCCCACACCAUCCUAUACACAAAUACAUGUAAGCACUUUAAGAAAAAGGGUACUGUUAGCUGUGGUUCACUGCUAUAGAUAUUCAGUAAAUACUCGUUGGGAGGGAAAUCGACUUCUUUAUAUUGGUAACAUAAUUGACCUUGCUCUAAUUUCUUCAAUAAAGAUAACUAGCAAUUUCUGUGUUUUAAAUUUGUAGUAGGCAAUGUUCUAAGCAUUUUACGUAUACUAGGCCACAACUGUCACAUUUGGUCUCAUUUCAUCAACCUCAUGGAAUAGGUCAGAACCCUGAGGUACAGAGAGUGUUACUUGCCCACGUUUACAGAUCGUGAGUAGCAAAGCUAAGAUUUGAAAUCAGCAGAUUGGUUGUAGAAUCUGUGAGCCUCAGGACAGUUUACCAUGAUUCCAGUGUACAAACAUACACUUUUAUUUGAUUUUUUCCUUUCUGUCCCCUAAGACGCAAAUUUGGUCUAUAAGACAAAUAGCUCACCUUCUUUAUAUUUCCUGCUCUGGCCCAUCAAUCUGUCAUCAUGGGCUCACUCUCUCCUUUCCUACAUUUAUUUCUGGGCUUUAAUAGAAGCUACGUUUUCCCCCUUAGAAUUGGCAAAUGUCAGUGUUUUCUGAAGAGUUCUUAUAACUUUGUUACUACCAACUUCAUGAGAAGGCAGUCACAAUUAGUUUUCCAGCUUGACUGGAUGGGUGAUAGAAAAGAUGUCUCUGAGGGGAACUGGUCUAGGUUUCAGCAGAAAGCAUCAUGCGGUAGAGCCUUGACACUUGUUUAGGCAGCUUCUAUCCUGUUAGGCACUCAGUGACUGGGGCUAUUAAACAUUUGGGUUAUACUCUGCAAGAAACAUCAUAUUAGCUCAGAUUCACCUAAGAGAAUAGAAGCAAAGACAAUGAUUUUUUACUUAAUGCCUGGCUUGAGGGAAGCUAUGGGCACCUUAUGGUACCCAGAAUGCUUUGGAUAGUAAAGCCAAUGCUAAUAAGGGGAAAUUGAAGCUCCAUUAGUGCUGAGACCCUAAUGACCUCAUUACUUAGUACAGCAUUGUCACAAAGGUACACACACAAAGGUGGUACUUAAAAAUGUUGCAUAGAUGAAUCAAUUUCUAACAGGGAAUGGAAGAGUACCAAGGACUAAUUCUCCUGACUUCCCCAUUUGGCCCAGCACUGCCACUUAGGCCACUAUGUAUGAUUAUAUACGUUGCAAAAUAUCAGGGGAUGUCACUCAUAUAAAUUAAGAUGUACACACAGAAGUAUGGCUGCUUCUCUGAGUCCUAGCCCCUGUCCAAAUAUGGUAAUCAGUCUCUGUGACGGUCUCAAUGAUCCCUACCUCUAGACAGUCCUACCCUUAUAGAUUUCCCUACCAUGUAUGUAAAGGUUGGUGUAAUGCUGAAAAGCCAUAGUAUGUUCCUUUGAGAAUUUGCUUAUAAAAGAUACCAGUUACGGGCAUUUGCAGUUCCAGCUACUCAGAAGGUAGAGGUAGGAAAAUCACUUGAAUGCAGGCGUUCUAGGCCAGCCUGGGCAACAUAGCAAGACUAUCACAAAAAAAAGAAAGACAAAAAGAAAAAAGAAAGAAAGGCAAAAAGACAUCCAGGCUUCCACCUUGGUUAUGUACACAUUCUCUCUCAUCACUCAUGAGACAAAAGCUAACUGCCAUGUUGUGAGCAGCUUGUCUCUAGAAUCAGAAGUCUCCUGUUAAUAUCCAUAUUAGCAAGCUUGGAAGCAGAUCUUUGUCUUAGUCAAACCUUCAGCUGGUGAAUCCCUGAUCACCAUGUUGCCUGCAACCUCAUGAGGAAUCUGGAGUCAGGAACACCUGGCUAAGCCACACUUGAACCUUGAGAUAACAAAGGUCUUUCUUCAGCCACUAAGUAUUGAGAAUAAUUUGUCUCUGCUCUCUCUAAUGAUGACAUCUCUCCCUGCCCUGUCCUUUCCUUAUCAAGGAUGCUAUGAAUGUGGUAGCUCAUGUAGGGCCAAGUAGUCCCAUUCACUCCUGAAAUGAGAUAUUACCUCCCAACUUCUCAGAAACACAAACGGGGUAAGGUAUGGGUUAAAGCAUCUCGAGAGAACAUCAGUCAGAAAAAAACUAUUUCAAAGUAAGAGAGGAAAAAUCUGCCCUGAAAAGGACUACCAGAACAGAAAGGAAAAAAUAAUGACACAUAUGAGUCAGUGAUGUGUUAGCUGGUUGUGGAUGAAGUUUUUCUUAUAUUUAUUAUAAUGUGAUUAGUGUGAUGAAUAAAAAACACUUUUGACUUGGGAAGACUGUGGUAAGGAAACAGAGAAAGUGGAAAAGCCUGUGCUGG
ensembl:lincRNA